GUUAAAACCUUGCAAACAAAAUUAUUCUAGCCUGUCACAGACCUGCCUGCUCAGGCAAAUCCAACAGUGCCUGCAGACUGACCCAGAGUUAACUUCAAAGUUGGCAUCCAGCAGCUGUUUCCGUGAGAUCUGGUAUAACUGCUUCAGUUCUCAGAGAAAAUGGGAUUAUUCAGGAUGAGGAUGAGGGGAUCCUUAUAAAACUCACCUCCCCGCUCAUCCACAGGCUCCAGAAAAAAUCCCUGAGGAACCUACAGCUUGCCAGGAUUUGGUGA
rnacentral:lncRNA from 1 species